UACGAAGGGGGGCUAGCGUUGCUCGGAAUCACUGGGCGUAAAGGGUGCGUAGGCGGGUCUUUAAGUCAGGGGUGAAAUCCUGGAGCUCAACUCCAGAACUGCCUUUGAUACUGAAGAUCUUGAGUUCGGGAGAGGUGAGUGGAACUGCGAGUGUAGAGGUGAAAUUCGUAGAUAUUCGCAAGAACACCAGUGGCGAAGGCGGACU
rnacentral:rRNA from 1 species